CAGUGCAUCCUGCGGUGGUGAUACGGCAACGGAAGUCGUAUCGGCGAAAAGACGGUGUGUUCUUGUACUUUGAAGACAACGCUGGUGUCAUCGUCAACAACAAAGGAGAAAUGAAAGGUUCAGCCAUCACAGGACCAGUGGCCAAAGAGUGCGCUGACCUGUGGCCCAGGAUCGCCUCCAAUGCUGGCAGCAUCGCCUGAAGAGAACCUGUUUGUUUUCAAUAAAAACUGUUCACCAA